CAAAACCAAAAUUAUAUACAAGAGCUCCAAAAUUAUUACAAAUAUGUCCAAGGCACUAAAGGCCCAACAACACCAAAACAAAAGAACUACAUGACCAAACUGCCAUCUAAAACCUACAAUAAAAAAAUAAGCUUCCUCGUCAAGUUUGGGGCUCCAACCAUCAGCCACGAUCACCCAACUGUCCGUCCUCAAACCGCAAGUUAUCACUCUACAUUAAAGAAAGUCAAAGGAAUGAGCUAUGAAGCUCAAUAAGUAGAUCAAAGCAUCAUGCAUUCCUACCUAUACAGCAUUAUUCAUAACCGUCCCAAAGAUUCAUGCAGGUUUUACAAAAUGGAGCCAUGUAUAACAGUUCUUUUUAUUAGCAAUGUGUCGUGAGUAAUUUCUUUCUUGAUGGAGCAAGCGUAAAUUAGAUAUCAAAUAUUACAUGCGCUAACAGUUUAUCAAAUCUUUAAAUUGAAUUAAUAGAUCAAUAAUUUAGGCAAACAUAUAAUAACUGCAUCCUAAUAUCAUCUAUUACCGAAGUAGAAGCCCUAUCAAUCAGGCCAAGUCAAUCCCAUUUCUUAGGACUUCUACCAUUAUUCAGGAGGGAAGACGAUGACAAAUGGAUGACCCACUUUGUAAUGUCUUCACGCACACAUACACAAUCCCCAAUGUGCUUUGGGGCUUUGAUAGGUGGUGGCCUUACAACAUAGGACCCUCAUUUGCUCUCUAGCUAGAAGGCGUUACACCACAAAUAGAUGACCCAUCGCAUAGUGUCACUUAUACAUAUAUUGAGGGGCACGACCCACCCAUAUAACUCACAUCCUAACUCCUUUUCUAUCAUCAGGAGUCAAGAAAAGAUCUCAAUUACCGGUACAAAUUUCUUAUUAUAUCAUAUCACAUUACACUACCAACGGAUGACCCGUUGUGUAGUGCCUCAUAUCACAUUCUUAUCAUACCAUAUCCCACUAUCAAUAGAUGACCCAUUGCAUAGUGCUUCAUAUCACAUAUGUGACAUGUCUUAUUACAACCAUGUACAUUCAUCAUCUCAUAGGUAUGUCUUAUUACGGCCAUGCACAUUCACUAUUUCGUAGGCAUGUCUUAUUACAACCAUGCGUAUUCAAUAAUUCAUAAGCAUAUCUUAUUACAAUCAUGCACAUUCAAUAUUUCAUAGACAUAUCUUCUUAUAAUCAUGCGCAUUCAAUAUUUCAUAGGCAUGUCGUAUUACAACCAUGCACAUUUACUAUUUCGUAGGCAUGUCUUAUUACAACCUUGUAUAUUCAAUAUUUCAUAGGCAUGUCUUAUUACAAUCAUGCACAUUCAAUAGUUUAUAUGCAUGUCUUAUUACAACCAUGCACAUUCAAUCCACAGGAAUUUUAUAGCAGAGCAGAAAUUUCAGUGUAAUAGUCUCAUAGAAAAAUGGGCAUAACUUUCAAUCCACAGGAAUUUUUCCAUGGCUCCAAAACCAUUUUGAAAAUAGACUGAUUUAUCUUUCAUUUAGAAGUUGUUUGGCCUCAUUUUGAGAUAUUUUAGUCAGUAAACAGCUCCAUAUAGAAACACAUAACGGUUUUGGAAAACAACAGAAAUUCCAAUGUGAUAGUCUCAGAGAAAAAUGGGCAUAACUUCCAAUCCUUAGGGAAUUUUGUAUGGUUCCAAUACUAUUAUGAAAAUAGACUCAAUCAUAUUUCAUUUAGAAGUGGUUUGGCCUCAUUUUGAGAUAUUUUAGUUAGUACACAAAAGUGUGUAAAGUUCUUGGAAAUCUAUGGCACAAUUUUGGCAUGCUUUACAAGAUGGCUGAUAACUUUCAAACCAAAAGAGGCAUUUCCAAGAGGCAUUUUCCAUCUUAAAAUAGAUUCAAAGAGGUACGUUUCCAUUAAGUUUCAUAAUCAACGGACGUGUUUUCGAUACCCAAACAAUUAUACAAUUGGGGGUCACAAUUCUUGAAAAACAAGCACAUUCCAACAAGAAUCAAUAGUAUGCAGCCACAUUCAUAUUCAAAAUUGCAUCUAUAAUCAUGCUUAAAGUUCAUGAUUUGAUUCAUACUCAUAUUUAAAGUCACACACAUAAUUGUGCUUGAAAUUCAUACUUUGAACACCCUUUCUCAUUUCCAAAAUCACAUCUAUAAUCAUGCUUAACCUCAUACUUGGAUGAACUAAUAAAACAUGUAUCAACAAAACAUGAUAGCAUGGAAGUUGAAUCCACUUACAUGCACCAAAAGUUUCCCCCCACACAUGCCAAGCUUCCAAGAAUGGUCUCAUGCUUGAUGCUCUAAGUGUUUGAAAGGGAGGUCGUGGGUGAGAGAGGGCAAAACUCUUGAGAGUGGUGUGAAGGGGGUACUUAUGAGCAAAGAGGGGGAGGCAGCAGGCAGGUGGCAUGCAAGGGGCACACAAGUGGCAUACAAUUGCAUGCAAGUAGCAUACAAGUGGCAUACAUGUGCCCUAUGGCACUCAUGAAAGAGCAAGCAUAAAAGUUCCCUGGAUUGCCCUAUACAUUCACUCUUGAUGGCAACGCUCACGACAGUGUCGUGCUUGGAGGCAUCGCGCAUGGCAGUGUCACGCAUAACGACUUCCUUCUUUGCAGUAACGCUCACGGAAGCAAUGCUCACGACGGUGUCAUGCUCGACGGCAUCACGCACGACAGUAUCGCGCACGGUGGCUUCCUCCUUGGCAGUAAUGCUCACGACAGUAAUGCUCACGGCGGUGUCGUGCUCGACGGCAUCGUGCAUGGAAGUGUCGUGCACGACGACUUCUUCCUUAGUAGUAACGCUCAUGAUAGCAACGCACACGGUGGUGUCGUACUCAGCAGCAUCGCGCAUGGCAGUGUCGCGCACAUUGGCUUCCUCAUGCACGCACGGUGGCUUCCUCCUACACGCACGAUGAUGUCCUCAUGCACACACGACGGCGUCUUCUAAUAUGUCAGAAAACUCCGGGUCCUUACAUCAUCCCCCCCUUAAAAAGAAUUUUGUCCUCAAAAUCAUACUUCUACUAAUCGAACAAUUGGGGGUACUUAUCCCAGAUCUCAUCUUUCCGUUCCCAAGUCGACUCUUUCUGUGAAUGGUAUUUCCACAAAGCACGGACCAGAGGGAUCUCCUUAUUACGGAAUACCUGCACCCUUCUGUCUAGUAUCCCAACUAGCUGCUCAAUGAAGGUCAGGUCUUCUCUGAUCGAAAUCGGUUCAUACCUCAAAAUAUGGGACGGGUCGGGUUGGUACUUACUUAACAGAGAUAUAUGAAAGACACUGUGGACGUUCGCCAACUCGGGUGUUAGGGCAAGUCGAUAUUCCACGCCUCCAACUCUUUCCACAAUCUCAAAAGGUCCAAUAUAACAACUUCCCUUUCUUGUCGAAUUUCAUAAUGCCCUUAGUUGGCUAUACCUUCAAGAAAACUCGAUCACACACCUCAAACUCAAAGUCUCUUCUUCGGUUAUCGGCGUAACUCUUCUGUCGACUCUGAGCUGUCCUGAGCCUCUCUUGAACAAAGAAAUCUUUUAUGACGUCAUCUGGACAAUUUCUGACUCUAAAAGCCUUCUUUCACUAAUCUCAUCCCAACAAAUGGGUGACAUGCACUUUCUUCCAUACAGGGCCCCAAAAGGUGCCAUCUGAAUACUGGCUUGGAAGCUGUUGUUAUAGGCGAAUUCAAUCAGGGGUAAAUGAUCAUCCUAGCUUCCCUUAAAAUCAAAGACACAAGCCCUUAACAUAUCUUUCAAAGUCUGAAUGGUUCUCUCUGAUUGUCCAUCAGUCUGGGGCUGGAAGGUAGUGCUAAAUGUAAGUCUCGUCCCCAAGGUUGACUACAGAGUAGCCCAAAAUAUAAAGCUAAAUCUAGUGUCCCUGUCAGACACGAUACUGACUGGUAUUACAUGCAACCUCACUAUCUCCAUGAUGUAUAACUGGGUCAGUUUAUCCAAUGUGUAGGUUGUGUGGAACGGCAAGAAGUGGGCAGCUUUGGUCAGCCGGUCCACAACGACCCAAAUACUAUCAUGCUCAUAACUCAUUCUAGGCAAACUAAAGACAAAGUCCAUAGCAAUGUGCUCCCAUUUCCAUUCUGGCAUGGGUAAGGGUAGCAACAAUCCAACGGGUUCUGAUGCUCAGCUUUCACAUGCUGGCAUGUCAAGCACUUAGAAAUAAACAAUGUUACUUCCCUUUUCAUAUCAUUCCACCAGAAAGUUUUCUUCAGGUCUUGAUACAUCUUAGUACUCUCGAGAUGUAUAUUAUAAUGAGAGUGGUGAGCUUCCUCAAAGAUAGCUCUCUUCACAUCCUUAUCAUUCGGGAUAGAUACCCGAUUUUUUAAUCGCAACAAGUCAUCACUGCUCAUAGAGAAAUCAUCUUUCCUCCCCAGCAUUAUAUCUUCCAAAAUUUUCAUGAGUUGAGGAUCCUUCUUUUGUGCCAGCCGGAUCUGUUGAAAAAGCUGGGGCUAUAUCCUUAUGUAAGCUGUCAUACUCACCUUACCACCAAGGGGCGGAGCUGGUUGCCAUCCCACUGCUUCCUCUAACAACUUCACCUCUUGGACCAUUAGAUGAGCCACCGAUAUUAUGGGCUUCCUACUUAAAGCAUCUGCUACCACAUUAGUUUUGUCGAGGUGAUAUUGGAUGGUACAAUCAUAAUCAUUCAAUAGGUCCAUCUAUCUCCUUUGCCUCAUGUUCAACUCCUUAUACGAAAACAGGUACUUGAGGCUCUUAUGAUCCGUAAAUACCUUAAAUUAGGCUCCGUAGAGGUAGUGUCUCCAGAUUUUCAAGGUGAAUACUAUAGUUGUAGGCUCCAAAUCAUGGGUUGGGUAAUUCUGUUUAUACAGCUUUAACUGUCGAGAAGCAUAUGCAAUGACCUUCCCUCGCUACAUAAUCACACAUCCGAGCCCUUUAUGAGAGGCAUCGGUGAAACUGCAAAGUCCUCAUUUCCUUAUGGUAAGGACAGUAUCGGAGCCGUAUGGUUAGGUGCCUCAAUUUCGUCCUCCAGAUCUAGAUGAUCGAGCGACACUCAUCUCGGGUUUCAGGUAGACUGAGGACGUUUUGAGAUCGCUCUUUCGGGAACCUCGUUCAAGAACAAGGAUAAGUAUUACCAACCAAUGAGAGAGGAACUUAAGGUCGUGAGGUGAGACUUACCUCACGUGGGUCCGUAACACGCUCGGGCUGGCUCACAUGGGCACCCUCUAAGAUCACGAAAAAAGUCCCCCCAGUCUAAAACUGGUUUGGAAUCGCCUCCCUUGACUUGUUUCUCAUUUCCUGCAAACACGCACAUACAUAUAUUAGAAGUAGCGACAAGUGGGGCAAGGUCCCACCUUGUUACAUGAUGAAAUAAAAAUGAGAGAAAUUAAUUAAAAUAAAAUAA
rnacentral:lncRNA from 1 species